rnacentral:sRNA from 1 species
CAGUGCCACGGCCGUCUGAGCUAAGCACGAUAGAUAGUCUUAAAAAAGGCGCAGCUUGCUGCGCCUUUUU